rnacentral:lncRNA from 1 species
UUCAAUCGGCAUUCGGGGUGAAGAAUGUCUGUCGAGGCCUCGCGGCGGUUGUCACGAGCCCGAUGGGAAGUUCCGGGUCGUGACAUGGCUGCUUUUAUUUUAUGGGCUUUUCUCUUCUUAAUUUUUUAUGGGAUUACACUUCAAAUAGUGUAAUUAAAUGAAUUGUAUUAAGAGUAAUAUGAUGAAUUUAGUUACAUAAGAAAAAAUGCAGCUAAAAUUUUAUAGUAAAAGGGUAAAAAUGUUUUAGUGUUAGCAUACUAAAAUAACAUGUGAGAAAAAGGGGGAACAAAGGAAGCGAAGCUUCUAAAUAUCUUUUGGAGAAUCAUGAAAAUUACAUUUCACGACAUGCAUGAGAAAGUUAUAAAUGAAGGUUCUAGAGAAUUUGAGGGCUGUUUUAUUUUAUUUUAAAAUAUUUUUAAAAUUUUAAUGGGUACUUACUACAUAAAAAUAUGUACACGCCUUCCAAGUGGACAUUAUGUUUCGCAAUCAUAUGAUCUUAG